rnacentral:lncRNA from 1 species
GGUCCUACUCCACAAAAUCCAACUGCUCUUGGAGUUAUUAGAGUUCCAAAUCCAAAUUACGGGUCAUCCGCUUCUACUCAACCCCAAUACAUGGAGUUUAUCCCAACUCCAGGAUUUCCAAAGCAUUGAUGCUUGUUUAAAUUAUGCUUUUGGACUAGUUUAAUUAAUGUUUUUUGGACUUGUAGUUUAUGCUUUUUUGGAUAUGUAAUCACUUAAGAACAUCAAAUGAUUUGAUGACUUGAUGACUAUGUAAUGUUAUUUUUUUGGCUAUGUAAUGACUUAUGAACAUCAAAUAUAUGACUUAUGAUGGUAUGCAAAUG